rnacentral:rRNA from 1 species
UACAGAGGGUGCGAGCGUUGUUCGGAAUUAUUGGGCGUAAAGAGCUCGUAGGCGGCUUGUCACGUCGGAUGUGAAAGCCCGGGGCUUAACUCCGGGUCUGCAUUCGAUACGGGCUGGCUAGAGUGUGGUAGGGGAGAUCGGAAUUCCUGGUGUAGCGGUGAAAUGCGCAGAUAUCAGGAGGAACACCGGUGGCGAAGGCGGAUCUCUGGGCCAUUACUGACGCUGAGGAGCGAAAGCGUGGGGAGCGAACAGG